UGACAAAAGGAUUUAAAGAAGGGGUCUCCGGUGAUAAAAAGUGUUUUUUGAAGGUAAGUGAUAUUCCUACCUUUUGCCAUACUAUUUUUUUUUUGUAACUCGAUAAGACAACACGUAUUGCCGGCAUUUUAAAACCAGAACGAGUUUAUACAAAUAUUCUAACUUCUUUUUAGUUUCGUUGUGUUUUUGUUGAAUAGAAAUAAAAACUCUAGGGCGCUGUAUCUUCAUCUAUUGAAUGCAUUGAGUAAAGAUGGAUAACACUAACAUGUUAACGAUGCUUUUCAAAGCAAGGAGUUUUAUCGACUAUGAUAACCGCGGUAAGUGGUACUUUCUCUUAAAUGUAUUUGAAGCAUUGAAUGUCUAUGUGGCCGAAAGUAUUUUCUAAAUAUUGGAAUAGUGGGACUGUUUUCUUAGUGAAUUUGAGCGGGGUUGUAUAUUUCUACUUAUUUAAAAAGUUAGACUUCAAGAACAUCGAUUCUACAAAUCCGAUAUCUUGUUAACUUGAUGUUUUUUUUUUGCCUUCAGUUCUGCGGCUCCUGGUUCUCGGCGCUCCGACGAUCUCCUCUCCAGCUCCGCUCCAGCAACUCCUUGUGCGUUGGCAAGUUAUUCUUGACAGUGUGUGCUUUUCCUUACAUUUAAUUUUGGACACCAGUGGCUUGAUCGGUAAUAUAUCUGUAUAUAUAAGAUCUUUCAUUUAAUUAUUUUAAUUCUGUAUUUUUUAUUUGGUGUCUCUAAUACUGUAGUAAAGCUUCAAACGUUUGCUUUAUGAAGUCAGUUUCUGUUGGAUCUCUUCUUUGCGGAUUCGAGGCGUAAUAAAGCUUUCCGCUCCGAAAUGAUACAGUUUUGAAAAUACUGAAUUGACUGAUUCGUGUUUUAUUUUAUUUCUCCAGGUGACAAAGGAUUUCAAGAACGCGCCUGCAGUUAUGAAAGUUGUUUUGCCCCAGGUAAUGCGGCUCCUGCUCCUCGGCGCUCCGACGAUCUCUUUCCCAGCUCCACUCCAGAAACUCCUUGUGCGUUGGCAAGUUAUUCUUGACAGUGUGUGUGCUUUUCCUUACAUUUCAUUUUGGACACCAGUGGCUUGAUCUGUAAUGUACCGAUUCAGUGAUGUAUCUUUCACUUGAUGUUUUGAAGUUUUUCGUGUUUCCUGCUGACUGCUGCUACUGUUUGUGCUACGUAUUCUGCAAUAAAAACUGUUGAUUUCAUUUUCUG
rnacentral:lncRNA from 1 species